rnacentral:rRNA from 1 species
UACGAAGGGGGGCUAGCGUUGCUCGGAAUCACUGGGCGUAAAGGGUGCGUAGGCGGGUCUUUAAGUCAGGGGUGAAAUCCUGGAGCUCAACUCCAGAACUGCCUUUGAUACUGAAGAUCUUGAGUUCGGGAGAGGUGAGUGGAAUUCGAGUGUAGAGUGGAAAUUCGUAGAUAUUCGGCAGGAACACCAGUGGCGAAGGGCGGCUCACUGCUGU